UGGGGAAUAUUGCACAAUGGAGGGAACUCUGAUGCAGCGACGCCGCGUGAGUGAUGAAGGAAUUCGUUUCGUAAAACUCUGUUCUAUGGGAAGAAAAGGACUGUACCAUAGGAGAAAGCUCCGGCUAAAUACGUGCCAGCAGCCGCGGUAAUACGUAUGGAGCGAGCGUUGUCCGGAAUUAUUGGGGGUAAAGGGUGCGCAGGCGGCUUUACAAGUUGGAUGUGAAAUAUUGUGGCUCAACCACAAACGUGCAUCCAAAACUGCAAAGCUUGAGUUAAGGAGAGGUAAGUGGAAUUCCUUGUGUAGCGGUGGAAUGCGUAGAUAUCAGGAGGAAUACCGGUGGCGAAGGCGACUUACUGGACUUAAACUGACGCUCAGGCACGAAAGCGUGGGGAGCAAACAGG
rnacentral:rRNA from 1 species